GCCAUGCAUGUCUCAGUGCAGCCGUACGCGCUCGCGCGUCUAGGUGAAACCGCGAAAGGCUCAUUAAAUCAGUUAUGGUUCCUUGGAUCGUACCACAUCUAGUUACUUGGAUAACUGUGGUAAUUCUAGAGCUAAUACAUGCCGACAGAGUUCCGACCGCCUCAUCAGCGGGAGGAACGCUUUUAUUAGAUCAAAACCAUUCGACGGGCAGGCGCUUCGGCGUCGUCGUCGCAAACACACGGCGCUUCCCUUGCGGAUCGCCGUUCAAGUGGUGACUCUGAAUAACUUUGAGCUGAUCGCACGGUCUCAGUGCUGGCGAUGCAUCUUUCAAAUGUCUGCCUUAUCAACUGUCGAUGGUAGGUUAUGCGCCUACCAUGGUGGUAACGGGUGACGGGGGAUCAGGGUUCGAUUCCGGAGAGGGAGCCUGAGAAACGGCUACCACAUCCAAGGAAGGCAGCAGGCACGCAAAUUACCCACUCCCAGCUCAGGGGAGGUAGUGACGAAAUAUAACGAUACGGGACUCAUCCGAGGCCUCGUAAUCGGAAUGAGUACACUUUAAAACGUUUAACGAGGAUCCAUUGGAGGGCA
rnacentral:rRNA from 1 species